rnacentral:rRNA from 1 species
CCUACGGGGGGCUGCAGUGAGGAAUAUUGGUCAAUGGGCGAGAGCCUGAACCAGCCAAGUCGCGUGAGGGAGUACUGCCCUAUGGGUUGUAAACCUCUUUUGUCGGGGAGCAAAAUCCGGACGUGUCCGUCUGUGAGAGUACCCGAAGAAACAGCAUCGGCUCACUCCGUGCCAGCAGCCGCGGUAAUACGGAGGAUGCGAGCGUUAUCCGGAUUUAUUGGGUUUAAAGGGUGCGCAGGCGGAUUUUUAAGUCAGCGGGAAAAUCGUGGGGCGCAACCCCAUCCAGCCGUUGAAACUGGGGAACUAGAGUGAGAGAGAGGGAGGCGGAAUGCGUGGUGUAGCGGUGAAAUGCAUAGAUAUCGCGCAGAACCCCGGUGGCGAAGGCAGCAUACCGGAGAACAACUGACGCUGAGGCACGAAGGCGUGGGUAUCGAACAGGAUUAGAUACCCUAGUAGUC